rnacentral:misc_RNA from 1 species
UCCGGCUCAACGCCGGCAGUCUCUCUAGAGUCCCCACCAUCACGUGCUGGCAACUAAAGACGGGGGUUGCGCUCGUUGCGGGACUUAACCCAACACCUCACGACACGAGCUGACGACAGCCAUGCAACACCUGUGGCCAGGCCCCUUGCGGGGCGCCGACGUUUCCGCCGGAUUCCUGGUCAUGUCAAGCCCUGGUAAGGUUCUUCGCGUCGCAUCGAAUUAAACCCCACGCUCCGCUGCUUGUGCGGGCCCCCGUCAAUUCCUUUGAGUUUUAGCCUUGCGGCCGUACUCCCCAGGCGGGACACUUAAUGCGUUAGCUUCGGCACUGGCGGGGUUGAUACCACCAACACCUAGUGUCCAUCGUUUACGGCUAGGACUAC